UAGAUGGACCAUGGCCAAAGUCUGCACAGCAAGGGAUGCCGCUCUCUUCCUCCCCUAGAUGGUGUCCAGGCCUUGGGUAACCUGGCUCGUAGAACCUGCCUGUCAGAGUGUAGCGUCAGAGUGAAACUGCACUAGAUGCCUCAGGGGAGAAGGCAGUGAGGGCUUAUGAGUCCAAUUUUCCAACUCGAGGUGCUCAGGGUCAAGUCCUUGGACGCCACCAGCUCUUCUCCACAUUCCCAACACCACUGCACUAGACCUUCCACGGCUGGAUGUGGUCUCUAGGGGCAUGUGGAGAGUAGGGGUGUGAGUCAGAAGUGACCAGGCUUUCAUCAGCCCUGAAUCAGAGGGAAGGCAGGGAGGAGGGUUGGAGUGACUGUAGAUAGUCUUGCGGUUCCCCCAGCUAGGAAUGAAAGCAUCCCCGACGAAACCAAGGCCUUCUGGAAGGUCUGAGGCUCCUGAUGCACCCAGAUAUGCAGGCCAUUGGUACACACCCCAGAACAGGACAGGCCACCAAAAGCUUGAGAGAGUUAGGAGAAAGGCUGAGAGGGGUGGGGGUAGGGUGGUAGAUCCCUUGGGUUCCUGUGAACUCUGGUUCCACACAGAGGCUUCCCUGUUUCAAUUCACUCCCUUGCCCUACAGAUCCAGAUCCCCUGGCUGAGAGUUGAAGUGGUUUCUUGUUGUGACAAGAGGAAUAACAGACUGGGGUCAGGGGACCAACAUGGAUGUGAGUAUUGGGCUUCUUCGUCCUGGCUCAGAGAUGCCUAAGACCUUCUGCUCCAUGCAUGGUGUGGCAAAACACAAGCUUUGGAAGAGGCCAAACAGACAAACAGAGGAAAACACAAGCGCUUUCUAGACUACAAAGACCAAUCUGCAUUGACCCAGAUAGAGCCGGUCUUCUGACAGUAAGUUCACAUGGUCUUUGAGGAGGUUUGUGUGAGUGCCUGCAUGUGAGACGUUUGAUGGGCCAGUGAGCAUGGCCGCAGGGAUGGUGGGCUAACCUAGUCAUUGCCUUUCUUAGUCUUAACAAUCAGCCAUCAAACCAUUGGUCUUCUAUUCAGCCGGCCACACUACCAUCUUACACCCCACCUACCCAUUUCUCCAUUGGUUAGGGCCCUGAAAUUUUGAGUUUUUUUUUUUUCCCUUAAGGUUGCUGCUCUCCCUGUCUGCUCCCCUCUCCUCUAAAUUCACAGCUUAUUUCUCAAGGGAUGAAAACAUACUCCUGUGGCCACCUGGGAAGCAAAGUAGCUGGGUUGAUACAAGAGGGGAGGGGGGUUAUCAGGUGGCUGUUUUUCUGACCAAGGCAUCCAAGAUGUUGGUUGAGUCAUCCCGUGCUAACCAGCGCCUCCUCUUCUGAGAUGCCCCGGUGUGGAGCCCUGCUGAGUAUGGAAGGGUUGGCAAGUGGCUUCAUGCUCCCUUGAAGGAUGGCAUGUGGGCACAACUAGGAUAGGUUAUAAUGGGUACCAGGGAGGCAAGUCUGGUAGAGCAAUGGGAUGUGUGUUGGGCAGAAUGGAGAAUAGCACCAUUGAGUUCUGGUCUAGAAGGAGAGGGCUAAAAAGGAGGCAAUUGUGCAGGUAAGUGGGCUGGGCCAGAGCCACCAGUGGGUAGCUGGGAGUCUAGUACCAAUUAUCCAAGGAGGAGCGCAGACAACAACCUCUGCCCUACCUUCCCUGUGUCCUUCCUUCCUUCCUUCCUUCCUUCCUUCCUUCCUUCCUUCCUUUUCAUCUCUGCUGAACCCCUCCUUUAUUCCACCGUUCUCCCCAUACCCCAAUCUGUAGCACCUCUCACAUCUACAGGGUUGGGUGGGGAAAGGGCUUGGCUGCCUCAGGGGAGCCUUGUGGAGCAGAGAAGACAAGACCAUUUUUCAGAAGGUGCCCUGUCGGGGUUUUGAGUUCAGUGCCCACAAGAUAAGGAGCCAGGGGAGGUGCACCUGUACUAGUCACUGCAUCCACUCUGUCCCUUGCCCCUCACUUGAUAGAAAAAGGAAAUACAGGUAGUAGCUUAGAGGGGAGGGCUAAAGUAGAGGUUGGAGAGCAAGGAGCUAGAGGGGACCAGAGGAGGCCAAAAGCAGAGGACUUGGAGAGGGUGAGGCAUCUUCACUUCACUUUGGGAACAUUAAGUUGGUAACGUCGGGUUAUAUGUAAGUUAUCUCUGAGAAGAGAGGCAGUCCUUCCUCAGAGCAGAUGUUUGUGGGAAAUGCUAGAGUGACAAUGGUGGACUGAAUUCAGACACAGGCCAAGGAACCGUGGAGCUCAUCUUGAGUCCUCUUCAGCCGAUGUGAAGAACACUCUGGACCACGAGGUGAGGGACAGUGCUAUGGCACUUCCUACACUCUUUUCCCAAGCACCUGCGACAUGUGAUUCUAUGUGUUAUGUGGCUCCCACAGAUGACAUCAGCACUCCCUCUAGGAACUCACUGACGAAAGAAAAGCAUCUCUGGGGAGGGAGACAUACCUCCUCAUCAUCUCUUUUUCGCUGCCCAAGAUGUGAGCUAAAUGGUACCCGCCCUUGUUUUAAGGGAGAAAGAAUUUGUUUUGACUCAUAUUAAAGAGGGUACUGCCCCAUCAUGGGAGGGAAGACCUGCCAGCUAGAGUGGAAGGGAUUGGUGGUGUGACUUUUUCACAUCUUGUGGUUCAGAGGUAGAGGCAGAGGCAGAGGCAGAGAGCUCUGGUUGGAAAUGGGACUAGACUAUAACCCCAAACGAUCUGUACCCAGGGACCGCCUCUACCAGCCACAUCUCCUACCCUAAAGGUCCCAGAGCUCCCCCAAACAGGUGUUCACACCGCAGCUUAUGGUAGGAGAUAUUUUACAUUCAAACUAUAAUAUUUCACCCCUGACCCUCAGGGACCAGGACAGAUGAGCUAUUCAGGACUGAGAUAUUUCUCCAAGCCCAGCCACAGCAAGGCAUGAUCCUUCCCCUUGGCAGUACUUCCCAGAGGGAAAUCCCCCUAGUCAGGAGGUUGGAGAACAGCUGGGCUAACAUUACACUGCUAAAUGAUGUUAGGAAUGACUGCAAGCUUGGGUACCUGGGUAGCUUAAGCCACAGGUAGGAUUUGUACUGCAUUGGGGGAGGUGGUGGGUAAGAACUUUCUAGACUAUGAGGAAUCCUUGAACCAAAGUCAAGGAUGGAUAGGGACGAGGUUGGCUGUGCAGGACCCUCAUCUGUCGAGGCAUCUGUCGAGCUACAUUGGACAGGCUCUGCCUGUAACAACCCGAAGACAACCAGGGAACGCCUCCCCAGUCAUGUUGCUCCCAGGGUCCUCUGAUGUUGCUACUACAGCAUGCCUGUUGCUCCAGAGCUGGUGGUGGCUGGGGCACGGGGAAAUGUGAAUGGCAGAGGUGCUCCCGGCCCCCAGCCUCCAUCUUGAGCGGGAGGAGAGAACCCGACCACGAGGUGUUUUCCAGACUCCAGGCAGGCGCUAGGGAUAACCUUGUAGGAGGGAGGGAGAAUCCAAUUAGACAUGCAAGGCUGGGAGCUGUGUGGUGAGUGGGCAAAGCUUGAGUCUCGCUUUCUGGCUUCCCUGGCCCUCAGUGGGAUGUGACAGCUUGGCUCCCUCAUGGCAGCCCCUCUCGUCCCAUUUUCCUCUCCAAUCACUGUGCUCUGACCACCACCCUAUCUAACUUGGAGUGUAGUCAUGACAGAAUGAGCCCUGAGUCAGCCACACCUAAAGGGAAUGAUAACCACUGUUCCCUUCUCUUCAUUUGCCUCUAACUUUGGGUAGGGUGCUGCCUCCUGCUCCCCUGGGAGUUUCAUACCCAUACUUCCCUCUUCCAUUUCUCUGAACUUUGCAUAAAGUGCCUGUUUUAUCCCCUCUACUUGGCCUUGACACAAAUAGUGACAAGUGACCUUGUUCCUUCUGGAAUCAUCAUCCCAACUGUCCCUAACAGCCAACUAGAUGAGUUACCAUCUGAGCCUGGACCUUUCUGCCUCCAAGGUAUCCCCAUUAUCCUUACUGAGGGACAUUGUAGUAGACACCUAAGCAUGUUGGUAGGAAGUGGCUUACUGUGACCUCGGACAGACCCCUGACCUCCUCAAGCCUUCAGCAGCUGGUCCCUCCCAUUUGAGGAUCCAGGGAGGGGAAGAGCCUGUUGGUGGAGCUUCUACUGUGAUGGGUGGGCCCAAGCAGCAACCUUCCUCCCUGGCCCCUGGGUAGAAGUUUCUGGAAGUAUUGUUUGGUUGGAUGCUGAGUACCAACUUCAUUUCCAAGCCUCUUGAUGGUCUACCUGGCCCUUCUCUUCCAGCUCUGCUGGGGCUAUCUGAAGGGGGCUUUUUUGGGAAGGUAAGAUCUGUGGUUAGUCUUAGCACCCCUCCAAGAGUCAGAGCUCGACACUGCCCAGGUACUUAUUCCUCUGUCAUUUCAUUAGACUGUCCUCAGAGGUGUGAGGAACUCCAAUUAGACAUUCAGCCAGCCUGCUUGUGUGGGGGCCUGGGCUG